GGAUGGAGAACGCAUAGGUUUCAGUUACUUUGUUUCUCAAAAAUAUACUGGAGAUCAGGCCCUAGUUAAGGUUCUUCGUAAUUCUAAGACUCUGGAGUUCUAUAUAAAACAUGCAACCCACAGAAGGCUCAUACCAGCUCACAUAAAGGGAAAACCACCUUCAUAGUAUUACAUUGUUGCUGGAUUUGUUUUUUCAGCAGUAUCUGUUCCAUAUUUGUGUUCCGAGGUACACUUACUAAAUUUUGCCUUUUCUUGUAGAACUUUGUCAAUGAAUGUGGCUAUUUUGCUAUGCAUGCAUGUGUGCAAUUUUUCACAUUUACUCGCUAAAAUCAUUUUUCCUCCUCUUGUAGAGAAUUAGUCUUUAUAAAUGUGGUACACUUUUAACUAAAAGAUCUGUUUUUUUUUUUUUCCACUUAUGAAAACGCUCGAGUAUUAACUCAGUUAUGUAUGUAUAUGCUUCUAGAGUGACAUAGUUUCUUUCGUUUGUGAGAGUUUAUCGAUUCUGCUCAUGAUAUAUUUAAUACAAAAGGUUAAAUCUUCAGUUCAUUUUUUAUAUAAUCAUUAAAUUACCGAUUUAGAUCAUCUAAUGGACAACCAAUAUAUGUAUGUAUAUGCCAAACUUUAAAUAUAUGAAGUUAAUUUUAUAUUUUUUUCUUAUAUCUUUAGAAACCAAAAAUUAUUAUUUUGAGUGGAAGUAGAGGUCACACUUUUUUCAUAUAAACAGAGCUGCUUCCUGCUUUAGUCAUUUUACUAUUCAUCUAGAAAGCAAGGAUACUUCAUCUAGGUGAAGAACUGCGCAGGGGAUACUUGGGGGUGCAGGGGUGCGGCGGGAUACGCAUGGGAUACGCCACGUGUCGUAUCUGUGGAGGCAGUGAUGGGAUACGCGGGGGUGCGGGGAUGGGGGUGCGGCAGUUGCACAAAUCGUAAUUUACAACAAUUUCUUUUUUAAAUUAAAAAACUUAAAAUUAGUUGGUCAAAAGAACGAAAAGAGGGGUAAAAGCCUAAUUAGACUUUAUUGUCUCUCUUCACUCGAUUCUCUCUCUAUAGACCAUGCCUCUAUCGUGCUGAAGCUCUUUCUCUCUCUAUACGUCGUCACUCUCUCCACACACUCCAUCUUUCUCCGCACCUAAUCUCCCUUCACACAUUCAGUCUCUAUAUGCUCCCAAUCUCCCUCCACACUGCAUUUUUCUCUUCAAUUUUAAAUUUAUAGCUCUCAUUCGGCUGGAUUGAACAAGGUAAUAUUAGUAUGUAUAAUUAUAGCAACUGACUAGAUCUAGUAUGUGAGAAUUGUCUAUGAUUGAUUCUAUUAAUUUUGCAUGUAUGUUCGAUUUUAUCCGUGAUUCCAUUGAUUUUGCAUGUAUGUUCGAUUUUAUCUGUGAUUCUAUAGUUUUGUAUGUAUAUUCGUGAAUAUAAAAGGGAAAAUUGAAAUUCUGUCCUAGGCAGGAUCGUAAUUGGAACAAAAACAUAUCUUUGUUCAAAUCUGUCGUCUCUAAGGAUUCAACGAACAACUUUUUCAGAGUAGGAUUUAUCUUUGUCACAAAACAUAGUAUACCACAUGAAGUCGACAACAGAGCAAUUAUAUCCGCAUGAAACUGCAAUUUUAUCCCACACAACUCUACAAAAAAAAGUAUGGUGCGGUUAAUUAAAAUUGUACUAAAAUUUAUAACCUGACGUAUUGAUCAAAUUGCAAUGUGGUUAAUUAUAGGAGUUACCUAUUCAUGUAUCUGGUUAUUGCUCAGGUUCAAAUUUUGUAAGUGUACGCCGCUUUUUUUUUUUGAUCACCUGCAGAUUAUAAGAGGUCCUAUGUUGACCUCAUAAAGGUUCUUAACUAAUAAUUUUCUUCCAACAUUUGUUUGUGAUGAUUUUUAGUAUGAAACAGAUUAUGAUGCCCCCGUAAAACUAUUGGAAAAGCAUCUGCAUGGAAUGGCACAAUCAGUUGACGAGCAAGUAGUUGUUCUUUCUCAGAUACAUCUCCCUUUCUGAGUCAUAUCCGCCGACAUUUGUUUACCUCUUGCGCAAAUCCCUGAUGCUGCAUGCAUCUUUUAAAUGCAAAAAUGAACGUCCGGAGUGUUGAUUCGGAGCUCACUACUAAAUUCUCUUUACAAUUGUAUAGGUACUUGUGGCGGAUUUCAAUAUUGACUAUGAGGAUAGUCAACACUCGAGUCAGAAGGAUUGAAUACUAUUUGUAUUUUGAGGACUUCACUAGAUUUCCUUAAAAUUGAGAGUCACGUUAUGUUUAUUUUCACCAACCCAAAGAGGAUAAACAUUUAUUGGAAAAAUAUUUCUAGACACACAAUGAUGCAAGUUAUUAUUAUUUCUGGAACUACAAUGUCAGUAUGUUAAGUUGUCAAAUUGAUGAGGAAAAGGCAACAAAAUAUCAGUAGUCUUAUACUUUGCGAAGAUAUGUCUUACUUUUGCCAGACACAGAGAUACUAUAUUUUUGCUCAGAAGUGUUCAAACAUUUAUAAUGUGUCGGUCUCGGAAUGAAUGUUUGUGGUUUAAUAUAAAAUUUUGCAUGUCCAUGGCCAAGUGUUGAGUUUCAUGGGUACUUGAGUUGAAUAAAGAGUCAGGGUGACAUUGGAUGCUAGUAUGCAUAUUUCUGGCUGCUGACUUCUUUUCCGUUUACUUUUGAAGGUUCAUGCUUUUAAUGGCAAGCCUGUUAAAAAUUCGAAGGGAUUAGCUUACAUGGUGGAAAAGUGUGAUGAAGAAUUCGUUAAUUUUCAUCUUGAAUAUGAACAGGUUGACUGUCUCCUACACUUUGUGUUCUUUACACAAUUGUCACCUACAGAUUGUGGUCCUGCACAUGGAAAAGGCAAAGGCUGCAAUUCCAGAUAUUUUUACCACUCAGUGCAUACCUUCAGCAAUGUCUGAUGAUCUCAAGGCAUAAACAGAUUGUAUGAUGAAGUUAUAUGAAGUGAAUCAUUAUGAAGAGGCCUCUAGUGUUGUACAAUCAGUUUUAAUAUGCAUUUAACUUCGGGAGUGUUUGGUUCAUGUUUAUUGAGUCCGGUUAACGGGAAUCGGAUCUCAUGUGCUGGUGUUUGGAUUUGUCAUUUUGUGAUAUGGAAUAGGAGCCCCAUUCCCACUUGAUGGGUAAAUCAAUUCUUCCAUACUCCUUGGUAUACUCAUUCCCAUAUCCUUCAUUUCCGUUCCAGAUUCCCAUUCUCAUUUACCAUCAAAACACGCCCCUCAUAUGUUUUCAACUUGCAUUAGAAGUAGCACUAUGGCGCGUUUGGAUCGUGAGUUGGAAUGAGAAUUAGGAUUGUGAAUGAGGGGUAUGGGAAUGGGUAUCCCAGGAAGAGUGUAAGGAAUGAUAUACCCUCCAAGUGGUAUUGGGUUCCCAUUCCAUGUCAUAAAAUUGCUAAUCCAAACACCAACACAUGGGUUUGAGGUUCCGAUUCUCUUUAGCCGGGCUUAUUAACCAAUCAAACGCCUUCUAUGUCCAUAUUCAUUAGAGAUUUACUCUUGAAUUUUUCGUUAAACUUUGCUAGAUCUCAGAGGUUAUGUUUGAGUUGUUAUGUCAUGACUACAUGCUUGGAUGCUUUUACAGUGAGAUCUUUGUAAUGGUUGUACAACAAUUGAUUACAAUUCUUCCGGUCAAUAAAAUCUGAACUCUUCAGGGUUAUGCUUCAAA